UACCAGCACCCCGAGUGGUCGGGACGUUUAUUGGGCCUAAAGCAUCCGUAGCCGGUUCUACAAGUCUUCCGUUAAAUCCAACUGCUUAACAGGUGGGCUGCGGAAGAUACUAUAGAGCUAGGAGGCGGGAGAGGCAAGCGGUACUCGAUGGGUAGGGGUAAAAUCCACUGAUCCAUUGAAGACCACCAGUGGCGAAGGCGGCUUGCCAGAACGCGCUCGACGGUGAGGGAUGAAAGCUGGGGGAGCAAACCGG
rnacentral:rRNA from 1 species